UCAAUUCACAUUCCGUCCCUGAUUGACAUCUAGCAAUGUGUCAGGGCAAUACAUGUGACGGGAAAUGUCACGUGGUAUGACAAAACCAAAUUCGUUCGUUUACCGUGAAACUAUAAUCCCUUCGUCAAUAUGAUCCGAUCAAUUACGAGAUAUGGAGUUGUGUCAAUCUCGAUUAUCGAUCAUAUCUUUCACUCCACUAUUAAGUCAAUAUAAAUCGAAAACUCCUUUUCGACUUAUGAGUACACCUUGGCCAAGGAUUUCAUCAUUGACUU
rnacentral:lncRNA from 1 species